CGGUCCAGACUCCUACGGGAGGCAGCAGUGGGGAAUAUUGCACAAUGGGGGAAACCCUGAUGCAGCCAUGCCGCGUGUGUGAAGAAGGCUUUCGGGUUGUAAAGCACUUUCAGUUGUGAGGAAAAGUUAGUCGUUAAUACCGGCUAGCCUUGACGUUAGCAACAGAAGAAGCACCGGCUAACUCAGUGCCAGCAGCCGCGGUAAUACAGAGGGUGCAAGCGUUAAUCGGAAUUACUGGGCGUAAAGGGUGCGUAGGAGUCUGGACCGUA
rnacentral:rRNA from 1 species